rnacentral:rRNA from 1 species
AUGAACGCUAGCUACAGGCUUAACACAUGCAAGUCGAGGGGCAGCAUGGUCUUAGCUUGCUAAGGCCGAUGGCGACCGGCGCACGGGUGAGUAACACGUAUCCAACCUGCCGUCUACUCUUGGACAGCCUUCUGAAAGGAAGAUUAAUACAAGAUGGCAUCAUGAGUCCGCAUGUUCACAUGAUUAAAGGUAUUCCGGUAGACGAUGGGGAUGCGUUCCAUUAGAUAGUAGGCGGGGUAACGGCCCACCUAGUCUUCGAUGGAUAGGGGUUCUGAGAGGAAGGUCCCCCACAUUGGAACUGAGACACGGUCCAAACUCCUACGGGAGGCAGCAGUGAGGAAUAUUGGUCAAUGGGCGAGAGCCUGAACCAGCCAAGUAGCGUGAAGGAUGACUGCCCUAUGGGUUGUAAACUUCUUUUAUAAAGGAAUAAAGUCGGGUAUGCAUACCCGUUUGCAUGUACUUUAUGAAUAAGGAUCGGCUAACUCCGUGCCAGCAGCCGCGGUAAUACGGAGGAUCCGAGCGUUAUCCGGAUUUAUUGGGUUUAAAGGGAGCGUAGAUGGAUGUUUAAGUCAGUUGUGAAAGUUUGCGGCUCAACCGUAAAAUUGCAGUUGAUACUGGAUAUCUUGAGUGCAGUUGAGGCAGGCGGAAUUCGUGGUGUAGCGGUGAAAUGCUUAGAUAUCACGAAGAACUCCGAUUGCGAAGGCAGCCUGCUAAGCUGCAACUGACAUUGAGGCUCGAAAGUGUGGGUAUCAAACAGGAUUAGAUACCCUGGUAGUCCACACGGUAAACGAUGAAUACUCGCUGUUUGCGAUAUACAGCAAGCGGCCAAGCGAAAGCGUUAAGUAUUCCACCUGGGGAGUACGCCGGCAACGGUGAAACUCAAAGGAAUUGACGGGGACCCGCACAAGCAGCGGAGCAUGUGGUUUAAUUCGAAGCAACGCGAAGAACCUUACCAAGACUUGACAUUGAUUGCAAGCCAUAGAGAUAUGGCCCUCCCUUCGGGGACAUGAAAACAGAUGGUGCAUGGUUGUCGUCAGCUCGUGCCGUGAGGUGUCGGCUUAAGUGCCAUAACGAGCGCAACCCUUGUUGUCAGUUACUAACAGGUUCCGCUGAGGACUCUGACAAGACUGCCAUCGUAAGAUGUGAGGAAGGUGGGGAUGACGUCAAAUCAGCACGGCCCUUACGUCCGGGGCUACACACGUGUUACAAUGGGGGGUACAGAGGGCCGCUACCACGCGAGUGGAUGCCAAUCCCAAAAACCUCUCUCAGUUCGGACUGGAGUCUGCAACCCGACUCCACGAAGCUGGAUUCGCUAGUAAUCGCGCAUCAGCCACGGCGCGGUGAAUACGUUCCCGGGCCUUGUACACACCGCCCGUCAAGCCAUGGGAGCCGGGGGUACCUGAAGUGCGUAACCGCGAGGAGCGCCCUAGGGUAAAACUGGUGACUGGGGCU